CACCAUUUAAAGAGUGCGUAAUAGCUCACUAGUCGAGUGACUCUGCGCCGAAAAUGUACCGGGGCUAAAUACACCACCGAAGCUGCGGAUUGAUACCAAUGGUAUCAGUGGUAGGGGAGCGUUCUAAGGACAGUGAAGUCAGACCGGAAGGACUGGUGGAGUGCUUAGAAGUGAGAAUGCCGGUAUGAGUAGCGAAAGACGGGUGAGAAUCCCGUCCACCGAAUGCCUAAGGUUUCCUGAGGAAGGCUCGUCCGCUCAGGGUUAGUCAGGACCUAAGCCGAGGCCGACAGGCGUAGGCGAUGGACAACAGGUUGAUAUUCCUGUACCACCUCUUUAUCGUUUGAGCAAUGGAGGGACGCAGAAGGAUAGAAGAAGCGUGCGAUUGGUUGUGCACGUCCAAGCAGUUAGGCUGAUAAGUAGGCAAAUCCGCUUAUCGUGAAGGCUGAGCUGUGAUGGGGAAGCUCCUUAUGGAGCGAAGUCUUUGAUUCCCCGCUGCCAAGAAAAGCUUCUAGCGAGAUAAAAGGUGCCUGUACCGCAAACCGACACAGGUAGGCGAGGAGAGAAUCCUAAGGUGUGCGAGAGAACUCUGGUUAAGGAACUCGGCAAAAUGACCCCGUAACUUCGGGAGAAGGGGUGCUUUCUUAACGGAAAGCCGCAGUGAAUAGGCCCAAGCGACUGUUUAGCAAAAACACAGCUCUCUGCGAAGCCGUAAGGCGAAGUAUAGGGGGUGACACCUGCCCGGUGCUGGAAGGUUAAGGAGAGGGGUUAGCGUAAGCGAAGCUCUGAACUGAAGCCCCAGUAAACGGCGGCCGUAACUAUAACGGUCCUAAGGUAGCGAAAUUCCUUGUCGGGUAAGUUCCGACCCGCACGAAAGGUGUAACGAUUUGGGCACUGUCUCAACCAGAGACUCGGUGAAAUUAUAGUACCUGUGAAGAUGCAGGUUACCCGCGACAGGACGGAAAGACCCCGUGGAGCUUUACUGUAGCCUGAUAUUGAAUUUUGGUACAGUUUGUACAGGAUAGGCGGGAGCCUUUGAAACCGGAGCGCUAGCUUCGGUGGAGGCGCUGGUGGGAUACCGCCCUGACUGUAUUGAAAUUCUAACCUACGGGUCUUAUCGACCCGGGAGACAGUGUCAGGUGGGCAGUUUGACUGGGGCGGUCGCCUCCUAAAGUGUAACGGAGGCGCCCAAAGGUUCCCUCAGAAUGGUUGGAAAUCAUUCGUAGAGUGCAAAGGCAUAAGGGAGCUUGACUGCGAGACCUACAAGUCGAGCAGGGACGAAAGUCGGGCUUAGUGAUCCGGUGGUUCCGCAUGGAAGGGCCAUCGCUCAACGGAUAAAAGCUACCCC
rnacentral:rRNA from 1 species